GAACUUCUUCUGAAGGCAUGGUCAGAGGACAGUUGCAUUCAAAAGGAAUUUGUGGAGACUGAGCAGGAAAUUCUGAGGGCAAUGGCAAAUUUAAUAGCAAAAGUUCAGUACAGAGAGCAAAAGGUUGACAGUAUUAGCAACAGGCUUCAAAGUAACUUGGAUGGUCUGGAUUCUUUACUAGAAAGUCAAUCUGCCAUGAAUCCCUGAUACUUCCAGAAGAUAUCAGAAUGCACAAGGUAUGUAUUAGCUUAAUAUCCCUGGUAUGCGCAACCAGG